rnacentral:rRNA from 1 species
UCGAGAAUCAUUCACAAUGGGGGAAACCCUGAUGGUGCGACGCCGCGUGGGGGAAUGAAGGUCUUCGGAUUGUAAACCCCUGUCAUGUGGGAGCAAAUUAAAAAGAUAGUACCACAAGAGGAAGAGACGGCUAACUCUGUGCCAGCAGCCGCGGUAAUACAGAGGUCUCAAGCGUUGUUCGGAAUCACUGGGCGUAAAGCGUGCGUAGGCUGUUUCGUAAGUCGUGUGUGAAAGGCGCGGGCUCAACCCGCGGACGGCACAUGAUACUGCGAGACUAGAGUAAUGGAGGGGGAACCGGAAUUC